CUUGUGCUAAUUAUGGCCGGCAACCGAGAGAUGAAUCUUAAACGGAGAGACAUCCUUAAGCCGGAUCUAAAUUCACAGUACAGUACAUUGUGCAGUGUAUCCACACCCAUUACAACUGAAUUGUUUGGAGAUGACAUGGGAAUACAAAGUGACCAAAGCAAAGCUGGCAAAGAAAAUUGCAGGCCCAAAAUAGUCUCSUGGGUCACGAUUCCAACCGUAUGGAAGGGCUGCAGGGAGUUCCUACCAGUCCAGGAACCGUGGUGGUGGCAGAGGUUAUUCAAAGUAUAACCCUUUUUUAGGGGAAAGGAACACCGACCGCAGGACCUCACACACCAAAGUCACGCAGGAGUGAUAACAUCACAACAGAUGCCUGCAGAAAAUUUCAUUAGAAAGGGCUACAACAAUACUAAUUGUACCAGCAUGGAGUUCCCAAGCGUGGUUUACAGGGCUUCUGAGUAUGCUGACAGAGCAACCAAUAGUAAUUCGAGUGAAGAAGAACACUCUGGUUCACCCAGUGAAGGGAAACACACAUCCACUGAGCCCUCGCCUGCAACUGCUGGCAUGCAGAGUAUUAGGGGACGACUCGCAGAGCAAGGCGGUUCUAAUGAAAUUGCCGAUGUUAUCAUGUGGUCAUGGAGACCAGGAACAAGGAAACAAUAUAAUGUAUACAUCAAAAAAUGGCAAAAGUUUUGUCUUGAAGGAAAAAUUGAUUCUCUGCAAUUGAUUCGAUGCAAAAUUUCGAAGUGCGAAAUGUCCAUUAAAACAGAGAUAUUUUAUUUUUUAUUUUAAAAAGCUUCAAGUUGGUGUUUUGUUCAUUUUCUACUUAUACCUUUACAUUGGUUAAUUGUCAUAAAACUGCAGAUUAUGUUGGAAUAACCUUAAUUAAUAAACAUAAUUUCAAAAGUAUA